rnacentral:rRNA from 1 species
UGCGUAGGUGGUUAGGUAAGACCUGUGGGAAAGACCUGGGCUUAACCCAGGAAGGUCGCAGGUGACUGCCUGGCUAGAGGGCGGGAGAGGAGCGCGGAAUUCCCGGUGUAGCGGUGAAAUGCGUAGAGAUCGGGAGGAAGGCCGGUGGCGAAGGCGGCGCUCUGGAACGUUCCUGACACUGAGGCACGAAAGCGUGGGGAGCAAACAGGAUUAGAUACCCUGGUAGUCCACGCCCUAAACGAUGGGUACUAAGUGUCGGCGGGUUACCGCCGGUGCCGCACCUAACGGAGUAAGUACCCCGCCUGGGGAGUACGGCCGCAAGGUUGAAA